AUUGGCCUAUGAUGCUUAAUUCCUCAGAGUGACAAGGCUCGAAGCAAAUCAAAUUCUUGUUAAACCAAAAAGGAAUGGGCAAAAUCAUUUGCACAUGCAAAAUAGAAACAUGGAGUUUAAAUUGAUCAUUGGUAUCUUACUCAAAUAAUAUACUUAGUUAAAUAUUGCAUACCAUGGAAGGCAUUGAAAACUAGGAGUCUAGGAAAGUGGAAACUAUAUACAUGUUUCAAAAGAAAGCUCAAGAUUAAUAAGCAUAUCUUAUCAUGUUCCUUCCACUGUUCUUGCAUCAUCUUAUAUCAUCCUAAGAAAACAUAGAUGCAAGUGGAGUAAAAGUGCAACCAGAGCUUAAUGCUCAAAUAAAAGAGAACCAUCUGCACUGUGAACACAGAUAGAGGAAAUGGCUUCUCCAGGAAUUGAACCAUCCACGAUUAUAUGGUUGGUAAAUGAGGUGGAAGGCAAUCUUGUAACCUACAUGGUGGAUCUACGAAAUCGUUGAAUCUAAAUGAGAAAUGCAUCAAGAGUACUUACAUAACCUGCAAACAAACUUGAUUCAAAACCCACCAGCAAUGCCAGGCUCAUAAUCCAAACAUCAAAGCAUCACAGGACAAUCCAAGUUCAUCCCAAAAUUUAGAAGGAUUAAUUUGGUGGUUAGUUUUUUAGGAAACUGACAACGUUUACUUCCAUAAAGGUGAUACAUUACAAGAGAACCAUAUUUCAAACUUAUAGAAUAUUCAAACUCUUGAAAGCAGCAAAUGCUUCUUUACACAUACAACUAUCAUGGAUGUGUUUUAUCUAGUAAAUCACAAUUCAUGUUUGAGAUAAACUUCCCACUUCUAACACUACUAGGCUAUAUUACCCCUUGUCAAAUUACAAUAAACAGUAUAAGAAGCAUCUGAGAUAAGCCAAACCUUUAGCUUAGUCUUCAAUCACAAUACCGGUUUCAAAUAAUAAUCAAGCUAGACGAUGCUGGUGCUAAUGAAUAAAACUAGGGACCCUCAAGCUUU